UACGUAGGGGGCAAGCGUUGUCCGGAUUUAUUGGGCGUAAAGAGCGUGUAGGCGGUCAUGCAGGUCAGCUGUGAAAACUCGAGGCUCAACCUCGAGACGUCGGUUGAAACCGUAUGGCUAGAGUCCGGAAGAGGAGAGUGGAAUUCCCGGUGUAGCGGUGAAAUGCGCAGAUAUCGGGAAGAACACCUAUGGCGAAGGCAGCUCUCUGGGACGGUACUGACGCUGAGACGCGAAAGCGUGGGGAGCAAACAGG
rnacentral:rRNA from 1 species